GACGAACGCUGGCGGCGUGCUUAACACAUGCAAGUCGAACGGAAAGGCCCUGCUUUUGUGGGGUGCUCGAGUGGCGAACGGGUGAGUAACACGUGAGUAACCUGCCCUUGACUUUGGGAUAACUUCAGGAAACUGGGGCUAAUACCGGAUAGGAGCUCCUGCUGCAUGGUGGGGGUUGGAAAGUUUCGGCGGUUGGGGAUGGACUCGCGGCUUAUCAGCUUGCUGGUGGGGUAGUGGCUUACCAAGGCUUUGACGGGUAGCCGGCCUGAGAGGGGGACCGGACACAUUGGGACUGAGAUACGGCCCAGACUCCUACGGGAGGCAGCAGUGGGGAAUAUUGCACAAUGGGCGGAAGCCUGAUGCAGCAAAGCCGCGUGCGGGAUGACGGCCUUCGGGUUGGAAACCGCUUUCGCAUGUGACGAAGCGUGAGUGACGGUAAUGGGUAAAGAAGCACCGGCUAACUACGUG
rnacentral:rRNA from 1 species